rnacentral:rRNA from 1 species
AGCAGUAUUGAACUGAAGAGUUUGAUCAUGGCUCAGAUUGAACGCUGGCGGCAGGCCUAACACAUGCAAGUCGAGCGGAUGAAGGGAGCUUGCUCCUGGAUUCAGCGGCGGACGGGUGAGUAAUGCCUAGGAAUCUGCCUGGUAGUGGGGGAUAACGUCCGGAAACGGGCGCUAAUACCGCAUACGUCCUGAGGGA